UACAGAGGUCUCAAGCGUUGUUCGGAUUCAUUGGGCGUAAAGGGUGCGUAGGCGGCCCGGUAAGUCGGGUGUGAAAUCUCGGAGCUUAACUCAGAACGGCCAAGUGAUACUGCUGUGCUAGAGUGCAGAAGGGGCAAUCGGAAUUCUUGGUGUAGCGGUGAAAUGCGUAGAUAUCAAGAGGAACACCUGAGGCGAAGACGGGUUGCUGGGCUGACACUGACGCUGAGGCGCGAAAGCCAGGGGAGCAAACGGG
rnacentral:rRNA from 1 species